rnacentral:lncRNA from 1 species
AUACUAUCUAUUAUCGGUCGUCCCACUGUCUAUAUCACUCUGUUCAGCUCUUAAUAUUAUUCAGUAUCAUGUCUUUGUGACGUCAAAUACGUUAACCCGGCCUUAAUAACUUUGACCCGGACAUAUCAGCGACGUCAUAAUGUUUGAACCGACGUUAAUAACUUUGACCCGAACUUAUCAAGUCAUCUUUUGUGUGCUGGUGAAACAAAGAAAACACUUCUGAAACACGCAAAUAUAGCCCGAUAAAUCGAUUAUCAGAUUAUCUGCAUAUUGAUAUUGUAAAAUAUCAGCUGCUUGACAUUAUAUGAAGGCUUUUUGAUCUCGUUCGCUACGCUCACUCGACAAAAAGCUUCAUAUUAUGUCUCGCAGCUGAUAUUUUACGAUAUCAACAUGCAGAUAACCUGAUAAUCGGUACAUAG